AAGUCGUAACAAGGUUUCCGUAGGUGAACCUGCGGAAGGAUCAUUAAAGAGUUAGGGUCCUAGUGGCCCAACCUCCAACCCUCUGUUGUUAAACAUACCUUGUUCGUCUUUUGGCGGGUACCGGUUCGGUUCUCCGAGCCGCGUUAACCCUCCGGGGUUGGCGAGCGCCCGCCAGAGUCCAACCAAACUCUUGUAUUAAACCAGUCGUCUGAGUAUAAAAUUUUAAUUAAAUUAAAA
rnacentral:misc_RNA from 1 species